rnacentral:misc_RNA from 1 species
CAGAUAAAUAGACCAGUCAAGCAGAUUUCAUCCCAUGCAUCAUUGCAAAAUAAUCAUCCCAAGAAAAAGCCUGCCAGACCAUUCUUUGAUGAUGAAGAUGAGGAUACAAAGGCUCUUGAUAUUAUUAGGCAAAUGUUCAAUACAAGAAGGUAUGCUGAUCGCUAUGAUGACGAAGAUGAUGAUAGUAUCCCUUCUCCUCUUUCUCAUUUCUCCUUUCUCUUCUUCCCUCCAUCCCUUUUAUGUUGGCACGGAGAAGUGCAAAAAUAGCAAAGGAGGAGGAUGAGGAGCAACUCCGCCUGAUAGAGGAAGAGGAGCGGCGGGAGCAGCAGAGAAAAUUGGCAAAGAAGCGCAAGCUGAGCCAACAUUGACGGAGUGACAAUUCCUCAUUUCUUUUCUAUUUUCUGAUUCUGGCAAGGUCCCAUCCAGUUCUGCAUCACUGCCUAUGAUGAUGUAGUUUGGGUUCUCAUUGUGCUUAUAUUCUUGAAUUAUAGGAAUGUGUUUGGCAGUUUUAGAUGCAAUUAAUUAUAGAUAACAAGUGAAGGUAUUUUUGGCAGUUGCAUUUUUUUGACUUAGGAAUAAUAUUGCUGUGUAGUGAUUCCUGGCCAAUUCAUUAGGAUUAUACUGACCAAGGAAAAUGUCUUCACAUAUGGUCUGGCUGAAAGAUUUGUUGGGUUUGGAAAAUGAUCGAUAUGUCAUUUCUAACUUUUGGUGCGAUGC